rnacentral:rRNA from 1 species
GCUAUACAUGCAAGUCGAGCGAACAGAUAAGGAGCUUGCUCCUUUGACGUUAGCGGCGGACGGGUGAGUAACACGUGGGUAACCUACCUAUAAGACUGGGAUAACUUCGGGAAACCGGAGCUAAUACCGGAUAACAUUUGGAACCGCAUGGUUCUAAAGUGAAAGAUGGUUUUGCUAUCACUUAUAGAUGGACCCGCGCCGUAUUAGCUAGUUGGUAAGGUAACGGCUUACCAAGGCGACGAUACGUAGCCGACCUGAGAGGGUGAUCGGCCACACUGGAACUGAGACACGGUCCAGACUCCUACGGGAGGCAGCAGUAGGGAAUCUUCCGCAAUGGGCGAAAGCCUGACGGAGCAACGCCGCGUGAGUGAUGAAGGGUUUCGGCUCGUAAAACUCUGUUAUUAGGGAAGAACAAACGUGUAAGUAACUGUGCACGUCUUGACGGUACCUAAUCAGAAAGCCACGGCUAACUACGUGCCAGCAGCCGCGGUAAUACGUAGGUGGCAAGCGUUAUCCGGAAUUAUUGGGCGUAAAGCGCGCGUAGGCGGUUUCUUAAGUCUGAUGUGAAAGCCCACGGCUCAACCGUGGAGGGUCAUUGGAAACUGGGAAACUUGAGUGCAGAAGAGGAAAGUGGAAUUCCAUGUGUAGCGGUGAAAUGCGCAGAGAUAUGGAGGAACACCAGUGGCGAAGGCGACUUUCUGGUCUGUAACUGACGCUGAUGUGCGAAAGCGUGGGGAUCAAACAGGAUUAGAUACCCUGGUAGUCCACGCCGUAAACGAUGAGUGCUAAGUGUUAGGGGGUUUCCGCCCCUUAGUGCUGCAGCUAACGCAUUAAGCACUCCGCCUGGGGAGUACGACCGCAAGGUUGAAACUCAAAGGAAUUGACGGGGACCCGCACAAGCGGUGGAGCAUGUGGUUUAAUUCGAAGCAACGCGAAGAACCUUACCAAAUCUUGACAUCCUUUGAAAACUCUAGAGAUAGAGCCUUCCCCUUCGGGGGACAAAGUGACAGGUGGUGCAUGGUUGUCGUCAGCUCGUGUCGUGAGAUGUUGGGUUAAGUCCCGCAACGAGCGCAACCCUUAAGCUUAGUUGCCAUCAUUAAGUUGGGCACUCUAGGUUGACUGCCGGUGACAAACCGGAGGAAGGUGGGGAUGACGUCAAAUCAUCAUGCCCCUUAUGAUUUGGGCUACACACGUGCUACAAUGGACAAUACAAAGGGCAGCUAAACCGCGAGGUCAUGCAAAUCCCAUAAAGUUGUUCUCAGUUCGGAUUGUAGUCUGCAACUCGACUACAUGAAGCUGGAAUCGCUAGUAAUCGUAGAUCAGCAUGCUACGGUGAAUACGUUCCCGGGUCUUGUACACACCGCCCGUCACACCACGAGAGUUUGUAACACCCGAAGCCGGUGGAGUAACCAUUUAUGGAGCUAGCCGUCGAAGGUGGACA